rnacentral:lncRNA from 1 species
CAGUGGAAGACUUCGGAGGAUCAAGGUUAGUCUGGGAAGACUUUGGAGGAUCAAGGUUAGUCUCUAUACGGGUUCUCCUCUCAUUGGCCCUGAAUCCAUUAGUCUGAUUUUCUCUGAAGAGUUGUGAAGUUGUUUCACGGGCAAACUUAGUAACAAGAGAAAACUUCUCCAAAACCUGAAUAGAGAGGUCCCGAGUAGGAUCGUUAACUUUAUGUCUUGGUCUCCUAUGGAACUGAGGAACACUUACACUUCCAUUAUUGACACCACUGUCAUUCCUCUCUUGGUUCUCAUUCAAAGUGGACUCAUCAGCUGACAUAUCUGAAGGUCCACGUGCAAGAGGAACAGCCCUGGGCAGUUCCAAGGAAGACAAAGUUUUCUGGAAUGUACUCUGAAAAUCAUUUACUAGG